rnacentral:rRNA from 1 species
CGAUGCAACGCGAAGAACCUUACCUGGUCUUGACAUCCCGGAGACCCUUAGGAAACUAGGGGUGCUUCCAUCUGGAAGAAUCUGGAGACAGGUGCUGCAUGGCUGUCGUCAGCUCGUGUCGUGAGAUGUUGGGUUAAGUCCCCGCAACGAGCGCAACCCUUGCCUUUAGUUGCCAGCAGUUCGGCUGGGCACUCUAAAGGGACUGCCGGUGUUAAACCGGAGGAAGGUGGGGAUGACGUCAAGUCCUCAUGGCCUUUAUGACCAGGGCUACACACGUACUACAAUGGCCGAUACAAAGGGCAGCGACACUGCGAGGUGAAGCCAAUCCCGUAAAAUCGGUCUCAGUCCGGAUUGGAGUCUGCAACUCGACUCCAUGAAGUUGGAAUCGCUAGUAAUCGUGGAUCAGCAUGCCACGGUGAAUACGUUCCCGGGCCUU